GACGAACGCUGGCGGCGUGCUUAACACAUGCAAGUCGAACGGUAAGGCCCUUCGGGGUACACGAGUGGCGAACGGGUGAGUAACACGUGGGUGAUCUGCCCUGCACUUCGGGAUAAGCCUGGGAAACUGGGUCUAAUACCGGAUAGGACCCUGGGAUGCAUGUCCUGGGGUGGAAAGCUUUUGCGGUGUGGGAUGGGCCCGCGGCCUAUCGGCUUGUUGGUGGGGUGAUGGCCUACCAAGGCGACGACGGGUAGCCGGACUGAGAGGGUGGCCGGCCACACUGGGACUGAGAUACGGCCCAGACUCCUACGGGAGGCAGCAGUGGGGAAUAUUGCACAAUGGGCGCAAGCCUGAUGCAGCGACGCCGCGUGAGGGAUGACGGCCUUCGGGUUGUAAACCUCUUUCAGCACCGACGAAGCGCAAGUGACGGUAGGUGCAGAAGAAGGACCGGCCAACUACGUGCCAGCCGCCGCCGUAA
rnacentral:rRNA from 1 species